AGAUUGAACGCUGGCGGCAGGCCUAACACAUGCAAGUCGAGCGGAUGAAGAGAGCUUGCUCUCUGAUUCAGCGGCGGACGGGUGAGUAAUGCCUAGGAAUCUGCCUGGUAGUGGGGGACAACGUCUCGAAAGGGACGCUAAUACCGCAUACGUCCUACGGGAGAAAGCAGGGGACCUUCGGGCCUUGCGCUAUCAGAUGAGCCUAGGUCGGAUUAGCUAGUUGGUGAGGUAAUGGCUCACCAAGGCGACGAUCCGUAACUGGUCUGAGAGGAUGAUCAGUCACACUGGAACUGAGACACGGUCCAGACUCCUACGGGAGGCAGCAGUGGGGAAUAUUGGACAAUGGGCGAAAGCCUGAUCCAGCCAUGCCGCGUGUGUGAAGAAGGUCUUCGGAUUGUAAAGCACUUUAAGUUGGGAGGAAGGGUUGUAGAUUAAUACUCUGCAAUUUUGACGUUACCGACAGAAUAAGCACCGGCUAACUCUGUGCCAGCAGCCGCGGUAAUACAGAGGGUGCAAGCGUUAAUCGGAAUUACUGGGCGUAAAGCGCGCGUAGGUGGUUUGUUAAGUUGGAUGUGAAAGCCCCGGGCUCAACCUGGGAACUGCAUUCAAAACUGACAAGCUAGAGUAUGGUAGAGGGUGGUGGAAUUUCCUGUGUAGCGGUGAAAUGCGUAGAUAUAGGAAGGAACACCAGUGGCGAAGGCGACCACCUGGACUGAUACUGACACUGAGGUGCGAAAGCGUGGGGAGCAAACAGGAUUAGAUACCCUGGUAGUCCACGCCGUAAACGAUGUCAACUAGCCGUUGGGAGCCUUGAGCUCUUAGUGGCGCAGCUAACGCAAAAGUGAACCCAAGGACGCGCAGGAAAACUAGU
rnacentral:rRNA from 1 species